GAUAAAAGGAAGAAGCAGCGGCUGGUCGGGAAAACAGAAGAGAAAAACAGAGGAGAAGAAAAGGAAAAAGGAGAGGAGAAAGGGAAGAAGAGAAAGGGAGGGUUUGUGCGCGCGGGUCCUCGCCGAGCCGUUCCGACUAAGUAACGCAACGACUAGUUCUUCUGCUGGCCGCAAGUAGGGCGUGAGCGGGCGUUAGUCGGAGGAUUUCUUUUUGAUUGUGGGAUUUUGGAAAGCUCUGAUGUUUUCGAGUCUUGUUUAAGUUUAGGCUGCGUCCUUUGGGUGAAAGGACGGCCGUGUUACGAUCCCGUUUUGGUUGUAUUCGGGGUGUGACAU